UACGAGGGAUCCUAGCGUUGUUCGGAAUCAUUGGGCGUAAAGGGUGUGUAGGCGGUCAUGUAAGUCAGUUGUGAAAGCCCCGGGCUCAACCCGGGAAGUGCUUCUGAUACUGCGUGACUUGAGUAUUGGAGAGGUGAGUGGAAUUCCAGGUGUAGUGGUGAAAUACGUAGAUAUCUGGAGGAACACCGGCGGCGAAGGCGGCUCACUGGCCAUAUACUGACGCUGAAACACGAAAGCGUGGGUAGCAAACAGG
rnacentral:rRNA from 1 species